rnacentral:rRNA from 1 species
AUACGUAGGGUGCAAGCGUUAAUCGGAAUUACUGGGCGUAAAGCGUGCGCAGGCGGUUUUGUAAGACAGAGGUGAAAUCCCCGGGCUCAACCUGGGAACUGCCUUUGUGACUGCAAGGCUAGAGUACGGCAGAGGGGGGUGGAAUUCCGCGUGUAGCAGUGAAAUGCGUAUAUAUGCGGAGGAACACCGAUGGCGAAGGCAAUCCCCUGGGCCUGUACUGACGCGCAUGCACGAAAGCGUGGGGAGCAAACAGGAUUAGAUACCCUGGUAGUCCACGCCCUAAACGAUGUCAACUGGUUGUUGGGUCUUCAUUGACUCAGUAACGCAGCUAACGCGUGAAGUUGACCGCCUGGGGAGUACGGCCGCAAGGUUGAAACUCAAAUGAAUUGACGGGG